AUGCCGCGUGUGUGAAGAAGGCCUUCGGGUUGUAAAGCACUUUCGGACGGAACGAAAUCGCGCGGGUGAAUAUCCCGCGUGGAUGACGGUACCGUAAGAAGAAGCACCGGCUAACUACGUGCCAGCAGCCGCGGUAAUACGUAGGGUGCGAGCGUUAAUCGGAAUUACUGGGCGUAAAGUGUGCGCAGGUGGCCUCGCAAGUCGAGUGUGAAAUCCCCGGGCUUAACUUGGGAAUUGCGCUCGAAACUACGGGGCUCGAGUGUGGCAGAGGGAGGUGGAAUUCCACGUGUAGCGGUGAAAUGCGUAGAGAUGUGGAGGAACACCAAUGGCGAAGGCAGCCUCCUGGGCCAACACUGACGCUCAUGCACGAAAGCGUGGGGAGCAAACAGGAUUAGAUACCCUGGUAGUCCACGCCCUAAACGAUGAUGACUAGUUGUUGGGGGAGUUAAAUCCCUUAGUAACGCAGCUAACGCGCGAAGUCAUCCGCCUGGGGAGUACGGUCGCAAGAUUA
rnacentral:rRNA from 1 species